GGGCGAAUGGCUCAGUGGUAGAGCAUCCGCUUUGCAUUGAGCAAUCUUGCGGAAGGUCCAGGUUUCGAUCACCUGUUCGUCCA